rnacentral:rRNA from 1 species
UACGUAGGGUGCGAGCGUUAAUCGGGAUUACUGGGCGUAAAGCGUGCGUAGGCGGUUUGGUAAGACAGGUGUGAAAUCCCCGUGCUCAACCUGGGAACUGCGCUUGUGACUGCCAGACUCGAGUACGGCAGAGGGGGGUGGAAUUCCACGUGUAGCAGUGAAAUGCGUAGAGAUGUGGAGGAACACCGAUGGCGAAGGCAGCCCCCUGGGUCGAUACUGACGCUGAGGCACGAAAGCGUGGGGAGCAAACAGG